GAUGAACGCUGGCGGCGUGCCUAAUACAUGCAAGUCGAGCGAACGGACGAGAAGCUUGCUUCUCUGAUGUUAGCGGCGGACGGGUGAGUAACACGUGGAUAACCUACCUAUAAGACUGGGAUAACUUCGGGAAACCGGAGCUAAUACCGGAUAACAUUUUGAACCGCAUGAUUCAAAAGUGAAAGACGGUCUUGCUGUCACUUAUAGAUGGAUCCGCGCUGCAUUAGCUAGUUGGUAAGGUAACGGCUUACCAAGGCAACGAUGCAUAGCCGACCUGAGAGGGUGAUCGGCCACACUGGAACUGAGACACGGUCCAGACUCCUACGGGAGGCAGCAGUAGGGAAUCUUCCGCAAUGGGCGAAAGCCUGACGGAGCAACGCCGCGUGAGUGAUGAAGGUCUUCGGAUCGUAAAACUCUGUUAUUAGGGAAGAACAUAUGUGUAAGUAACUGUGCACAUCUUGACGGUACCUAAUCAGAAAGCCACGGCUAACUACGUGCCAGCAGCCGCGGUAAUACGUAGGUGGCAAGCGUUAUCCGGAAUUAUUGGGCGUAAAGCGCGCGUAGGCGGUUUUUUAAGUCUGAUGUGAAAGCCCACGGCUCAACCGUGGAGGGUCAUUGGAAACUGGAAAACUUGAGUGCAGAAGAGGAAAGUGGAAUUCCAUGUGUAGCGGUGAAAUGCGCAGAGAUAUGGAGGAACACCAGUGGCGAAGGCGACUUUCUGGUCUGUAACUGACGCUGAUGUGCGAAAGCGUGGGGAUCAAACAGGAUUAGAUACCCUGGUAGUCCACGCCGUAAACGAUGAGUGCUAAGUGUUAGGGGGUUUCCGCCCCUUAGUGCUGCAGCUAACGCAUUAAGCACUCCGCCUGGGGAGUACGACCGCAAGGUUGAAACUCAAAGGAAUUGACGGGGACCCGCACAAGCGGUGGAGCAUGUGGUUUAAUUCGAAGCAACGCGAGGAACCUUACCAAAUCUUGACAUCCUUUGACAACUCUAGAGAUAGAGCCUUCCCCUUCGGGGGACAAAGUGACAGGUGGUGCAUGGUUGUCGUCAGCUCGUGUCGUGAGAUGUUGGGUUAAGUCCCGCAACGAGCGCAACCCUUAAGCUUAGUUGCCAUCAUUAAGUUGGGCACUCUAAGUUGACUGCCGGUGACAAACCGGAGGAAGGUGGGGAUGACGUCAAAUCAUCAUGCCCCUUAUGAUUUGGGCUACACACGUGCUACAAUGGACAAUACAAAGGGCAGCGAAACCGCGAGGUCAAGCAAAUCCCAUAAAGUUGUUCUCAGUUCGGAUUGUAGUCUGCAACUCGACUACAUGAAGCUGGAAUCGCUAGUAAUCGUAGAUCAGCAUGCUACGGUGAAUACGUUCCCGGGUCU
rnacentral:rRNA from 1 species